rnacentral:lncRNA from 1 species
UAUAUGAUGCUAUUGUAAUUCAUCCUUGUGAGCCAGGAGUAACUGAAUGGAUUAAUGUCUACAACCUAAAAUGGUGCGUCUUGUAGUGACGGACCAGUUCCUGAUCUUUGUUGGACGGGACAGGGUCACCACUCCCUUGUAUUUUGGGAUUUGUGUAUUUUAAUGGGAUUUAUGGAUAUUUACUGUAAAGUACAAUGAUGGACCAGUUCCUGCUUUUGUUGGACGGGGCGGAGUUGCCACUCCCUUGUACAUGUAUAUCAGGAUUUGUGUAUUUUAAAGUCAUUUAUUGAUAUUUACGGUGCGUCUUGUAGUGAUAGACCAGUUCCUGCUUUUGUUGGACGGGGCGGAGUCGCCACUCCCUUGUACAUGUAUAUCGGGAUUUGUGUAUUUUAAAGUCAUUUAUUGAUAUUUACGGUGCGUCUUGUAGUGAU